rnacentral:tRNA from 1 species
GGAGAGGUGCCGGAGCGGACGAACGGGACGGACUUGAAAUCCGUUGGGGGCGAUGAGCUCCCUCGUGGGUUCAAAUCCCACCCUCUCCGCCA